GACAUUUGGGGACUUGUCCUGAACCACUCCUGCAUUGUCUUGGCUGUGUGUUUAGGGUCGUUGUUCUGUUGGAAGAUGAACCUUCGCCCCGGUCUGAGUAACCUUUGAAAAUACGACAUCCACCUCCCAACCUCUCACACCAUCCAACUCCACUCCUGCUACCCCCGGUCCCACCACUUCCUGUGUGUGUAAUAUCUCCACUUCCUGUUCCCCUCCGACCAAGCCCAAGUCUCCGCCACCUGCGCUGGGUGUUGUCAAGAUCAACUGGCAAGCAAAGUCCUGUAAGGGGGACAUACACCUGUGUCUCCUCUUGGGUGGAGACACCUGUCUCUCCACCCAUUCCUUACCACUCUGCUUUAACAGUUGGGCCAAUCUUAGCCUUGAACUGGCAGAAUCGUGUGAGAGGAAGGGCUGCGGGGGCUCCGCUAAGUGGACUGAGACCCCUGCUAGCUCUGAGGGUUACCAGAUCGAUAGGGAUGGAAGGGUUACCAAUAACUCCUGUACAACACUGAUAAUCCAAUGCGAAGUCGUCCCAGAUCAGUUAGUGGGCUAUAAGGUGGUGACUGGACUGCUGUGUGUUCUGGUGCUGGUGGUGCUGAUGGUGCGUUUCGGGCAGCCCUCCCUCAAGGCCCUCCGUAAGAGAUUGUCAGACAAGAGACAGAGUCGGUGGAUCGGACCUACGCAGAGCCAAAGUGUCUCCUACCAUAGAGGGAAGGCUGGACUCCAACUUAACGACAACACAGACAAGAGACACUCCUACCCUGGAUUGGAGAGGCUGACGGUGAACACUAGCCGAGAGCCGUCGUCUAACAGAAACAGUGAUUAUGACUCUUAUAACUUGUGAUCAUCAUCUUCAUCAUCAUCAGUCAUAUUCUCCAUCCUCUAUGACAAAAUACUGUACAUGUAUUUUUUAUAUUUUAUUAUAUAUUUUUAUGCACAUAAUAUCAUUUUUUGUUAUUGUUUCUGUGUGUAAUUCAAUCAUUCACUUCUUUUAUUGAAUAAAAAGUAA
ensembl:lncRNA